rnacentral:tRNA from 1 species
UAUAAUAUAGUUUAGAUAGAAUAUUUGUUUUUGGUGCAAAAGGGUUUAUUAUAU